AUUGAACGCUGGCGGCAGGCUUAACACAUGCAAGUCGAACGGUAGCAGGAAGAAGCUUGCUUCUUUGCUGACGAGUGGCGGACGGGUGAGUAAUGCUUGGGAAUCUAGCUUAUGGAGGGGGAUAACUACGGGAAACUGUAGCUAAUACCGCGUAAUAUCGAAAGAUUAAAGUGUGGGACCUUCGGGCCACAUGCCAUAGGAUGAGCCCAAGUGGGAUUAGGUAGUUGGUGAGGUAAAGGCUCACCAAGCCGACGAUCUCUAGCUGGUCUGAGAGGAUGACCAGCCACACUGGGACUGAGACACGGCCCAGACUCCUACGGGAGGCAGCAGUGGGGAAUAUUGCGCAAUGGGGGCAACCCUGACGCAGCCAUGCCGCGUGAAUGAAGAAGGCCUUCGGGUUGUAAAGUUCUUUCGGUAGCGAGGAAGGCAUUUAGUUUAAUAGACUAGAUGAGAGACGUAACUACA
rnacentral:rRNA from 1 species